AAAUUGAAGAGUUUGAUCAUGGCUCAGAUUGAACGCUGGCGGCAGGCCUAACACAUGCAAGUCGAGCGGUAGCACAGAGAGCUUGCUCUCGGGUGACGAGCGGCGGACGGGUGAGUAAUGUCUGGGAAACUGCCUGAUGGAGGGGGAUAACUACUGGAAACGGUAGCUAAUACCGCAUAACGUCGCAAGACCAAAGUGGGGGACCUUCGGGCCUCAUGCCAUCAGAUGUGCCCAGAUGGGAUUAGCUAGUAGGUGGGGUAACGGCUCACCUAGGCGACGAUCCCUAGCUGGUCUGAGAGGAUGACCAGCCACACUGGAACUGAGACACGGUCCAGACUCCUACGGGAGGCAGCAGUGGGGAAUAUUGCACAAUGGGCGCAAGCCUGAUGCAGCCAUGCCGCGUGUGUGAAGAAGGCCUUCGGGUUGUAAAGCACUUUCAGCGGGGAGGAAGGCGUUAAGGUUAAUAACCUUGGCGAUUGACGUUACCCGCAGAAGAAGCACCGGCUAACUCCGUGCCAGCAGCCGCGGUAAUACGGAGGGUGCAAGCGUUAAUCGGAAUUACUGGGCGUAAAGCGCACGCAGGCGGUCUGUCAAGUCGGAUGUGAAAUCCCCGGGCUCAACCUGGGAACUGCAUUCGAAACUGGCAGGCUAGAGUCUUGUAGAGGGGGGUAGAAUUCCAGGUGUAGCGGUGAAAUGCGUAGAGAUCUGGAGGAAUACCGGUGGCGAAGGCGGCCCCCUGGACAAAGACUGACGCUCAGGUGCGAAAGCGUGGGGAGCAAACAGGAUUAGAUACCCUGGUAGUCCACGCCGUAAACGAUGUCGAUUUGGAGGUUGUGCCCUUGAGGCGUGGCUUCCGGAGCUAACGCGUUAAAUCGACCGCCUGGGGAGUACGGCCGCAAGGUUAAAACUCAAAUGAAUUGACGGGGGCCCGCACAAGCGGUGGAGCAUGUGGUUUAAUUCGAUGCAACGCGAAGAACCUUACCUGGUCUUGACAUCCACAGAACUUUCCAGAGAUGGAUUGGUGCCUUCGGGAACUGUGAGACAGGUGCUGCAUGGCUGUCGUCAGCUCGUGUUGUGAAAUGUUGGGUUAAGUCCCGCAACGAGCGCAACCCUUAUCCUUUGUUGCCAGCGGU
rnacentral:rRNA from 2 species